rnacentral:rRNA from 1 species
GACGAACGCUGGCGGCGUGCCUAACACAUGCAAGUCGAACGGAAAGGCCCUGCAUUUGUGGGGUGCUCGAGUGGCGAACGGGUGAGUAACACGUGAGUAACCUGCCCUUGACUUUGGGAUAACUUCAGGAAACUGGGGCUAAUACCGGAUAGGAGCUCCUGCUGCAUGGUGGGGGUUGGAAAGUUUCGGCGGUUGGGGAUGGACUCGCGGCUUAUCAGCUUGUUGGUGGGGUAGUGGCUUACCAAGGCUUUGACGGGUAGCCGGCCUGAGAGGGUGACCGGCCACAUUGGGACUGAGAUACGGCCCAGACUCCUACGGGAGGCAGCAGUGGGGAAUAUUGCACAAUGGGCGGAAGCCUGAUGCAGCAACGCCGCGUGCGGGAUGACGGCCUUCGGGUUGUAAACCGCUUUCGCCUGUGACGAAGCGUGAGUGACGGUAAUGGGUAAAGAAGCACCGGCUAACUACGUG